rnacentral:misc_RNA from 1 species
CGCGGCAGGGCACGAAACAGCACCAUCUCCAGCAGUUCGUAGUCGCUGAGCGCAUCGGCGCCCGCCUCGCGGAAUCGAUCGCGCAGCCGCUCGCGAUGGCCAUGAUAGUGCGGCGCUUCGGAGAAGCCGGAUGACGAGGAUGGGUCGUCGGAUUUUGCGGGCAUGGCGGAAUGCGUGCUCAAGUAUGCUGCGAGCAGCGCCGCGCCCGGCUG